UUAUUAAAAAAAGGAAAAAUUGGUAAAAAUAAUCCCAACUUUCACUUAUUUGCUUUUAAUAAUCCCAACUUUGGAUUAUUAUUAAAUAAUCUCAAUUUUGGGGUGUAUUCGCUUUCUUUGGUCCCUAAUCGGUAACUAACUUGUUAUAACAGGUUUUUGGGAUACGUGGCAUCACGUAAUUGGUUUUAAAAAAACGAUUAAAAACCUUUUUUUUGGGGGGGGAAAGGAAACUAAAAAAAAAGCUUAAAAAAAAAGUGAAAAAUUAAUUAAAAAAACAAACUCAACCCCCCACUGCCACCAUCUCCACCACCAACCUCCGCCCACUCCCGGAACCCCCAUUUUCGCCGGCACCAAGACGCCCAGUCCCCCCGGUACAUAACCAGCUCCGCCGCGACAAGCACCAACCCAUCCACAAACACACAUCAAUCACAACCACCACGAAAACCACCAUGAAACCACCUUGUGGCAGGCCCGCAAAAAACGACCACAAAUCCAACCAGGUUUCUCCUUAACUUGAUUUGGAUUUUUCGCAAUCAAGUCGCAAAGCUCUGUUAAAGCUUCUAUUGAUGAUUCUACAAAGAUUAAUCUAGAAAUUACUGCAAAAUUUGGGGAAAAUUGUUAGGGUUAAUUGCAAAGAUCAAAGGAGGUUAAUUUUUGCAACAAAGGUUUAGUGCGUGGUGGAGGUUAUGGGGGUUUUGGUGGUUUAGGGGUACGGGGAAGGGGGCAGCGACGAGCCGGCACCGUCGCGAGGGAGAGGGGAUCUGGGCGCGGUGGUUAGGAGCGGCUGAUGUUGCCGUUGGUUUGGUUUUUUAGGUUGCUUGCCGUGGUCCUUGUUGCAUUGGGGGUGUGGGCAGCAGUGUUGGUGGCGAUUGGGUGGGUGGCAGAGGUUGUGGUUGUUGGUGUAUGCGGCUGGGCGGUGAUGGCAGGAGAGUUUGGUUUGGUGGGUGUGAGUGGUGAGGAGCAGGGGAGUUCUAGGUGUGGAGAUGCGUGGCUGCUGGUGUUUUCGAGAUGCCGGCAGGUGGUGCGGUGGGAGCGCAGGUUGUUGCGUAGGUGAUGGUGGUUAUAGGGGUUGCUGCGCAGGUGAUGGUCGGAACGUAGGUGGUUAAAGGUGAUGGUGGUGAUGUUGUCGUUUGAAUUUUCACUAGUAGAAAAAGAUAAAUGCGCACCGAUUAUUGAAAACCGGUGCAAAAAAUGCAAGCCUAGACCACAAAAAUAAAACAGGCUUAAUAGGGCACCGGUUAACCGAUGCCCUUUUCCCAAAUAUUCCCUAAAAUUAGAACUCUCUCGCUCUCUCUCCUCUGUUUCCCCUCUCUUCUCGAAUUCUCUCGUUCUCUAUUCUCUCUUCUCCUCUCUCGCUCUCUCUCCAUGCUAGCUUCCCACCAGCGCAACUUUCCUCUAUUACAGCUUCCCACCGCAGCCACCACCAGCGCAAGCCUCCUCUCUCUCUUCUUCCAUGCUAGCUUCCCACCACCAGCCACCACCACCGUAGUCAGUAAUGGAGAUGUUAAAGCAAGCCCUUAAAAAACCAGGAGAACGAUGCCUAGAUCUCUAAUGGCGACGCUGCUCCUCACAAGAAGCUGAUUUCUGCAAUCUGGUUGGGCUGCUUGGUUUACAAAGGACAAUAUUUUGACAUAGCAUCUUGCAAAUUCCUUUGACAUACGAGGUGAGGGUACAUCAGGGACAAGAGCCAAUUGAUGGGGUAGACGUUUGCUUGAUACAAAUGUGCAUGAUUGUGGAUAUGGAAAAUGGGAUUUUGAAGCAAAGAAUUCAUAGUUUGGCUAGACAAAGAGAAGAGAUGGAGCAAAGCUCUUUGUUAUUGUCGUCAUAAAUUUAAGCUCUCCACGUUGUUGCCUCUUCACAAGAGAGUGGAUCAGCUCUCCACGCUGCUACCUCUACUGCUACUCCCUCUGCUGCUGCUGUCUUAUCUUUGAUGCUACUGCCGCUUUUACAUUGCUUCUACUGCCUCCUAUCUUUGAUGCUGUUGCUAAUUCUGUAGUGCUGCUACUGCCUCCUCCUAUUAUGAUAAUAGAAGUAUCCAAGAAGAAAAUAUUGAUGCUGUAGUUUUUUCAGUUUUUUAAAGUGUGAUAUUACAAGUUAUUGAAGAAAAAAUAUGUAUUUUAUGUAUAUUAUGAUUAUACAUAAGU